UGGGAAAAGAUACUAUAGCAGCCCUCCAGGACUCACAUCAGUUCUUCAGACAAAAUGUGGAAAACAUGAAUGUGAAUCUCAUGACACAAAGCAACACUACCUUUUCAGGUCUUUUUGUUUUUGUUUCUUUAGAGGGAUACUUCAAGAUCCUUGAAAAACUGUGAUGAUGUCUCCAAGCCUCAAACCCUGCAAGCUGGGGCUGAGCCUUUGUGUUUUAUGAUCUCCAGCCUUUCUCCAAUGUUCUGCAGUGACUUCCAGGACAAAUUACAACUGGAAGGAUGCAUUCAUGUAGAGAAGUAAAAGUUCCAGGAUUAUCCUGAUUUCAGGCACAUAGUCCUUUCCAGAAACAAUACUAAACAUGAAUCUUGCAAGUACAGUAACCUACAGAUGACAGUCAGCAAGGAUUUGCAGGUACACCGAUCCUGAGGUAGAGAUGUCACUUUGGAGAUGUGACUGGAAAUCUGUCCUAAGAGCACUGACCAGGCCUCCUUCUGGCCUUGUGGAUUCUUCAUGCUUCCAUUUGGUUUCAGGCUUUUUGAUUUUUCCAUCCUCUAAAGCAUCCUCCAGUAAUGCAGUGUUUCCAAAGUGGAAAUGAAAGGCACAGGUGGAGACUCAACUGCCUACUUGUCAUAAGGCUAAAUAUUUCUUCACUCAAGAUGUAAUAAAUCCUGGAGUACUCUCUGCUCUCACAGGAGGAUUUCAGCACGGAGGCAUGCUGCAGAAAGGUAUUUGUGUCAGAAAAAGAAUUCUCUGGGCAGUGUAAUCUCUGAUACUCCUAAGAACUACUGCUCGCGUGGAAUUGUUUUGCUUGGUUUUUUUCCCCUCUUUAAUGGAGCAGUGUCUUAUGGGAAGCACUAUAAAGUCUGCAUCCAAAUGGAGUCAGAACCAAAAUAUCAAAUGCCAGAAUGCUCUGAAGGUAGAAACUUUUUAAUUGCUAUAUUUUUUCUAAGUAUUUUUUUUUUAUUUUAAUCAACAAAAUGGGUUUGAUCCUGAAAGAAUUUUCUCAAAGUUACCUGAGUAGGACAGCAUUAACAUAGUGGAGUGAAAAUCCCAUCAUGUUCUUCAGGACAAAUGCUUCUUAUUGAGAUGGAUGAUGAAAGGUAAGGGUGCUGAGAGCAUACUUGUUUGUAAACAGCUCUGGAUUUUGCUCUGUAGAGGAGCAUAUGGCCCAAUCUGUAGCCCAGCUCGGCUUUUUUCACAGUGAGAAUGGCACAGCACACACUGCAGAUUAGGCUACUGCAGGAAGUGGUACAAGAGAGGAAUUUGCAUUCAGAAUGAAGGAUGAAAUAUAUGGAAGUUCAUGAAAAUAGCAAGUUCAUUUCAGCUUGAAAAUUAGUUUUCCUUUUUUUCAUUCUAUUUCUUCGGGUUAAAUUUGCUAAAUGAAAACCAUACGUAUUUGGUGGGCAGUUAUUCUCAGUAGUUCAUUGGCGUUUAUCAAAAAUAAAGCAGUAAAAAUACAUAGGACAGCAGCAGGAACCAGCUCACUAGAGGUGGAAGACGGAUGGGACACUGAUAGUUACAGCUGGUGCUCAGUCAGUCCAGAAGACUGCUGUGCCAGUGUUGGGAGGAGCUAGAGAAUACCCAUGAGUGCUCUCGUGAACUGUAGUUAGCUCAACAGAGGCCUCUGCUGAGCAAAUAGUAACCGUCUGAGACAAGCUCAGAAUCAAGCCAAGUGCCUCACCUUUAUUCAUCCUUACUAGGACUAUCUAGAAGCCUUCUUACUGGUACGCUGGGAGGAGAGAAAAUUCCAAAAGGACAGAUAAGCACAAAUAGUUCUGUCUUAUUUCUAAGGAAAACAAAUAGGGAACUAUCUCUUAUGGAAUAGUAUUCACACGUGGUUUGCCAUUAGAGAAUGUAUUAUAUAUUUUACUGUAGUUUUAUUAAAGGUUCAAAAGUCAUUUGAAGAAAGAGACUGUGAUUUGCCGUAAGACUUAAUGUAUACCUGUAGGUCAUUUUACUUUUUUCUGUUUACCUGAAUUUGCCACACUUAAACUGAAUCAAGCCAUUGAUUUAUCAGAAGUGCUUUAUUCCUCACUUUAGAUCUGUGCAGAUCUAAGCUAUAAACAGGAAAGCAGUAAAAAGUUGCAUUUGUAAAUAUUUUAGAGAACACUGCUGUUCUGUGCAGCUUUAUGCUCUUUUUUUUUUUUCUGGUGCCAUUGAGUGCUUUUGCAGAAGCUCAUUUGGGAAAUGUAUUCUUUGAUUUUGGUAAUCAAUUGAUCAACAUUUGAAGCCGGGCUCAGACACACAGCUAUUGUGAAGAGCAGUACUUUCAGAUAUCCAUUUGAUUGUGUUUGUGAUGCUUGCUUUAUUCAGCUGUGCUCCAGGCAAAUUAAAAUGUAGUGCUAUAUAAUAAGUAUGGGAAGGUUAGCAUUCGCACUUUAGGGAUAAAACAUUUUGACAGUUCUAUUCUACAUUUGCAUUUAAAAAUUGUAAUGCUUUUAAUUAGACCCUAUGUUUAUGGUAGUUUCUCUUGUAGGCAUUACUAUUGUGAGACUGUUACCUUUCAGGGUCUGUUCUGGACUGCUUGUCUGUGGGGAAAAGCAAAAGCCUGCUGCUUCCAUUUACAAAUUGUUUGCUGGUCCAUUGUAUGUCUUAUUUUCUUUAAUUUCUCUUUCUCCUCCACCUCUUUCACCACUGCAGAAGAAUUUGGGUUUGUUUCUGAGGAUUCGUAUGUGCGGGGUUAGAGAGGGACAUACAUACAGUUCUUUCUCACGUGUUUGGUAUAUUUUUCCACUGGUCCUCAAAUUCUCAGUUUUUGGUCGCAGUAGAAUCCCGAAAGGGACAGUGGCAGACAUGGUCUGGAGAGAGACAGGAGAUUCUGCCAUGAUAUGCAUUGUCUUUUUAGCUCUUGGAUAGGUGAUGUUUAAACAAAGCACAUACACAGGCAGUGGUCAACAUCCCGAGCGUAUGAAAAUGAUCUCUGACACGGGCUUAAAAAAAAAGAAAAGACUAAGUAGUUCCUAGACAGCCAGUCCCUAGAGUCUUUGUGUAACUAUUGCUAGAUUUACCCUGGGAAGGAUAUGGAGUUUGGUAGUACCAGAAAUCUUGAGCAGUGACUUUUCAGGGAAUGUAUUCCUGCAUUAGACCCCCAUACCGUGUCUCCAAAGCCCAGGAAAUUCAAACACCCUCACAGACUGCUCCAAGGUGCUCAUUUCCUUAUCUUCCUUCAAUUUUUGGAGCUGCUUCUUCUGACUCAGCAGUAAAUAGCAGGUAUUCAGAUAUCACUGCAUAUUCAGAUAUUUGGUAUGGAAGUCAUGUUUCCUGGUUGGGAAGGGGACAACAAGUAAAUCCUCCCAGCACACCCAGAUUGCAUCUUGCAUUUAAAAUCAUUAAAAUCUGAAUUAUACAGAGGCUAUGCAGUACUAGGGGUAAGUACAUUGGCCUUUCAUGUCUUAUUAUGUUGUUAAUUAGUUAAUGUUUGUAAAGCACUUUGAAGAUGAAAAGCCCUAUAUAAGUUCUAAGUGUUAUUAUCUCUGGAGACCUGGGUUCAAUUCAAAGGUGCCUAAUUACAUAUGCCAUAAAUUAGACUUAAUGAGUUGUGGAAUCAUGUGCUUUCUCUGAUGCAUGCAGGUUUCUCAGAUAGACCUUGGUCCUAUAGCCUGCUGCUGUGCUUCUUUAUGUACACAGAGCUGUUAUGAAAAAUAACAUCAAAUAGAGCAGACAUUUUCUAGAAACAAUUAGGUUAUAUUUCAGCUCUGUUUAGAACUUGGUGAGGGAAAUUACCAGGAACUUUGCUCUGCUGCAUCUAGGGCUUUCCCAGUAACCGACUUCAAAGUGCUGAAGUUAACGGGACUGUUUUCAGGCUACCGUACAGACAGAAUUCUAAUUCUUUCUUUUGCUCCAUAUCUGGGCUUACCACAGGGGAACUGGGCAGUAUGAGCAUGACUGCUGUCCUAAUAAUGCCCUGAGAUGUACCGUCAGGGCUGGAGACGUUUCGGUGUUGGGUAAUGUUCACAUGCAAAAGAAAAAAGUUCCCAUCUGUAGAGAUACUAUCACUGAAUUUACAGCAAGCCCUUACAAGUGAGUAAAGUACAAAAGGGGGAAGUAGCAGUUAUAGGAAAAUGUGGUUUCAUUGGCUUUGCAGAGCUGAGAGUUUCUGUGUUAUGUAACUUACAUAUUCUGUGGGGAAAAGCUACAAAAUUGGCCCCACUCAGGCAGCUAUCCAGCAGUGAGAGCAGAGAGGUUCUCCUGGUUCUUCCUGAAUUAACAGAGUUCAGACACAUAGAAAACCAGUAGGAUCAUUCACUUGUCCCAGAGUCGUUCCCAUGUGUUCUUGCAGCAGAACAUUUUAUCUUGGACCCUUUGCAUGCUUACAGGGAGAGGCAGGGUUUAUUCAGCAUAUAAAUAUGUUAGAAGUGAUUGUGUUCAUUAGUACAACCUAAGUAGAUUGGAAAAACCAAUUAAUAGCAAUUUACUAUAAGUGUCUCUAACUGACUUCUUGAAAGUAUUUAUCCUGAAGUGAAAGUCAUUUGAUUUAGUUAAUGUUUAUUAUAUAUGCAGAUCUUCCGGGGAAAAUGUAUUUUUGAGUACUCCAGACAAUUGAAACUAGUGAGCCCACUGUCUGGAGAAAGCAUCUGUAACCGCAGCCAAAAGAGGAACAAGAUUUCCGACAUUGUUUCAAGACAUGUGUUUGAAGCAUGGGUUCCCAUCACUUUCGGAGUGAGUUGCAGAC
ensembl:lncRNA